rnacentral:lncRNA from 1 species
UUUUGAUUCAGCGCUCUUUCCGAUUGCUUUGAGCUUUUGGUCCUCUGAGUAUAACACCUUUAUUUUUCCUCUUGGCCCCAUGUCUAUUACGUUAAGGGAUGUUGGGGCCCUGGUAAAUUUACCACCUUUGGGUGAUACCAUUUUCCCAGGCAUCUUAGUUUCUGGUGGCGCCCCACAGUUCGAUAAAAACUACACCGAUUCUUAUUCAAGCCUGUAGACACUCCACAAUCAUUCGAGUGCUGAGCCUACUCAUGCUGAGCGAGUGGC